rnacentral:precursor_RNA from 15 species
CAACAAAAAUAUUGGCACAUUCCUGCUGGGCUCACAAAGUGGUUGUGAAAUGCAUUUCCAUUUUGCCCGCAUAUCACAGCCAGCUUUGAUGAGCUUAGCGUUAUGUAUCGUACAUCAAUCAAUCA